rnacentral:piRNA from 1 species
UAGGGUGUCUGCAAGCUGAGGAGCAA